rnacentral:lncRNA from 1 species
CUCUUUUUGAUUUGAUUUGAUUCUCUGCUUGGUCGCUGUUGGUGUAUAGAAGAGCUACUGAUUUGUGUACAUUAAUCUCAUAUCUAGAAACACUGCUAAAUUAUUUUAUCAGUUCUAGGAGCUUUCUGGAGGAGUCCUUAGGGUUUUGAAGGUAAACAAUCAUUUCAUCAGCAAACAGUGGAAAAUGAGCUUAUAUAUGAAGAAGUCAGCGAGUGGACAAAGCCAGGCGCAAUGGAUAGCAAAGAUGUGGAAGUCUCCUCGAUUCAAGUUACAAGAAAACCGCAGCAUGGAGUCUGCUCUCAGCUGUUGGGGAAUUACCGAUGCCUUUGACUAAGUCAAGACUGACUUUUCCAGAAUAUCACCCAAGAGAUAGAGCCGUCCCUGUCCAAGUUUGUGCGCUAGCCCUUCAUGGAGGUCAGAGAGGAAGAAACAAAGGCAGCUGUGGCCUCGGCGGUCACAGUGUCAGAACGCACAAGCCCCAUAAAGAGGUUUCACGCAGGCCACCCAUCCCUUUUCAUUCUCCAGCAGAACAGGACAGAGAGCGUUCUGUUCUGCGGAAGGUCUUCCACUCUACAAGGCAAUCCCUCCAGCUGCUUUGCUGUAUUGUGCUGUCUCCUGUCACACUAUGAAUGCAGUGACCUCAGCCAGCAACAGGGAGAACCCCCCUGCCUCCCGAACAAAGGACCUCACGUGAAAUCCUGAGCUCAGAGCUUACAGAUAUGUGUGCGCUUUCACUUUACAUCGGCCGUGACUUCCAAACAACUUCAGGAAACUUUAGGAUCUCUGAGGUAUACUGGAGAUGACAGCAGCGUAGAAUGUUCAUUUGGAUUUAGAACAGAAAUGCUUAUUUUAUAUUUGGCUGCUCCCAAACUGUCCCCAGACUUCCUCUCCAGUGGUUACCCUCCACUGCCCUGGAUGUCCCACGUUUACACUCCACACUCACACCUCCACCUUAACAAAGUCCUCCACUGGGUCAAACCAUACAUCGCUUCGUCUCUGUAGUGAUGACUUCCUGUCCUCUGCUCUGUGGAUAAAGACCCCAGAUAAAGAUGCCUGUGUUGCUCAACUCUUGUAAAUACUCUUGAGACAUUUUGAAAGCAGAAGGAAAGGAGACAGACGGGGAAAAUAAAAGGGAUGGUCUGCUUGUGCGGAAACGUUUUGAGAAUGCCCUUCCCUAAGAGAGAACAGUAAAAGUGAGCAAUACUUCCUGAGCUGUGGGUUCAUAUGGCUGGACUGUGCUGUUUCUCACGGGAGAAGUUCUCGUCUCCCCUGCGUGUACAUCCCUGUUUGCCAGCCUGGCCUUCGGUGUGGUGAUAUCAUGGUGCACUCCCAGGAGGGAAGUGCUUGGUCAAGACUUCUGCUUGGGUUCGACUAUCAGUUCUGGUUUCCUUUAAGGCACAGGAUCUUCCCUUUAAGGCACAAACACCCCCUUGACACAAAGUAAGGGACAAGGGAACUUUAAACCAUUUGGAAACCCAAGCACAAUAGGCUGUAGGUUGUAAAAAGAAAUUACAAAGGUAAUUUUAUCCAGAAGAGGGAGCAGUUUAACUUCUGCAGGAUUAUCAAGUUGGCUUCGGUGACAAAAACGAGCAUCGCGUUUCCAUGGAGGGCUUCCCGUCUGUGUAUGAGAAAG